rnacentral:rRNA from 1 species
GACGAACGCUGGCGGCGUGCUUAACACAUGCGAGUCGAACGAUGAAGCCGGAGCUUGCUCUGGUGAAUUAGUGGCGAACGGGUGAGUAACACGUGAGUAACCUGCCCUUGACUCUGGGAUAACUGCGGGAAACUGUAGCUAAUACCGGAUACGACCCUCGGAGGCAUCUCCUGGGGGUGGAAAGAAUUUCGGUCAAGGAUGGACUCGCGGCCUAUCAGCUAGUUGGUGAGGUAAAGGCUCACCAAGGCGACGACGGGUAGCCGGCCUGAGAGGGUGACCGGCCACACUGGGACUGGGACACGGCCCAGACUCCUACGGGAGGCAGCAGUGGGGAAUAUUGCACAAUGGGCGCAAGCCUGAUGCAGCAACGCCGCGUGAGGGAUGACGGCCUUCGGGUUGUAAACCUCUUUUAGCAGGGAAGAAGCGAAAGUGACGGUACCUGCAGAAAAAGCACCGGCUAACUACGUGCCAGCCGCCGCGGUAA